rnacentral:rRNA from 1 species
UUCUUCUGGAAGCAGCAUUGAAUCUGCAUGCGAGUCCAGACACUCCGUGAUAUGCUUCGUCUUAACUCUGUGCUAACGAGAAGUAUAAGUUAUAGCUGCCCCUUGACGUACCUACCAGAGCACGCUACUACGUCCCGCAGCCCCGUUAAUCCUUAGUGUCAAGCGUUAUCUCGGAUUAUUGGCGUAAGCGCCCGCAGGUGGUUUUUUCAAUUUGAUGGAAAUCCCCCGCUUCACCGUGAGGUUCAUUGAAACUGGCAGGCUGAAGUCUGAAGAGAAAGUGAAUUUCCAUGUGUAGCGGUGAAAUGCGUAGGGUUUGGAGGAACACCAUUGCGAAGGCGCCUUCUUGUUCGUACCGACCACGAGCUCCGAAAGCCGUGGGGACCAACCAGGAUAGAUCCCUUGUUAUUCCACGCCUUAACCGAGAUGGUUAGUAUUAGGAGGUUUUCCCCCCUUAGUUCCGAAGUUAACGCCUUUAGCCCUCCGCCUGGGGAGUACGGCCGCCAGGCUGAAACUCAAAGAAUUGACGGGGGCCCGCCCAAGCGGUGGAGCAUGUGGUUUAAUUUGAAGCAACGCGAAGAACCUUACCAGGUCUUGACAUCCUUUGACCAUCCCAGAGAUAGGGCUUUUCCUUCGGGAACAGAGUGACAGGUGGUGCAUGGUUGUCGUCAGCUCGUGUUGUGAGAUGUUGGGUUAAGUUCCGCAACGAGCGCAACCCUUGAUUUUUGUUGCCAUCCUUUAAUUGGGCAAUUUAAAGGGGCCUCCCGGGGCUAACCGGGAGGAAGGGGGGGAGGCGUUCAAUUCUUCAUGCCCCUAUGGACUGGGGUUCCCCCCGUGUUCCAAUGGCGGUUCCAAAAAGUACAAACCCCCGAGGAGGAAGUAAUCUUCUUAAACCGUUUUCAAGUCCGGAUGUAGGUUUCCAAUUCCCUUCCAUGAACUGGGAUCCGUUGUUAUCGCGGGUCCACAAUCCCCGGGGAAUUCCUUUCCCGGCCUUGUUCCCCCCCCCCGUCCCCCCCCGGGAAGUUGAACCACCGGAGUCGGGUGGGUUACCCUUCGGAGCCAGCCGCCUAAG